rnacentral:rRNA from 1 species
UGGGGAAUAUUGCAUAAUGGGCGCAAGCCUGAUGCAGCCAUGCCGCGAGUAUGAAGAAGGCCUUCGGGUUGUAAAGUACUUUCAGCGGGGAGGAAGUGAGUAAAGUUAAUACCUUUGCUCAUUGACGUUACCCGCAGAAGAAGCACCGGCUAACUCCGUGCCAGCAGCCGCGGUAAUACGGAGGGUGCAAGCGUUAAUCGGAAUUACUGGGCGUAAAGCGCACGCAGGCGGUUUGUUAAGUCAGAUGUGAAAUCCCCGGGCUCAACCUGGGAACUGCAUCUGAUACUGGCAAGCUUGAGUCUCGUAGAGGGGGGUAGAAUUCCAGGUGUAGCGGUGAAAUGCGUAGAGAUCUGGAGGAAUACCGGUGGCGAAGGCGGCCCCCUGGACGAAGACUGACGCUCAGGUGCGAAAGCGUGAGGAGCAAACAGG